CAGUCGCCACGGUAAUACGUAGGUGGCAAGCGUUGUCCGGAAUUAUUGGGCGUAAAGCGAGCGCAGGCGGUUAGAUAAGUCUGAAGUUAAAGGCUGUGGCUUAACCGUAGUACGCUUUGGAAACUGUUUAACUUGAGUGCAAGAGGGGAGAGUGGAAUUCCAUGUGUAGCGGUGAAAUGCGUAGAUAUAUGGAGGAACACCGGUGGCGAAAGCGGCCCUCUGGCUUGUAACUGACGCUGAGGCUCGAAAGCGUGGGGAGCAAACAGGAUUAGAGACCCCUGUAGUCCCUGUCUCUUAUACA
rnacentral:rRNA from 1 species